rnacentral:rRNA from 1 species
AGAGUUUGAUCCUGGCUCAGAACGAACGCUGCGGCAGGCUUAACACAUGCAAGUCGAACGAUAUAGUGGCAGACGGGUGAGUAACGCGUGGAAACGUGCCUUUCACUACGGAAUAGCUUUUGGAAACGAAAGGUAAUACCGUAUACGCCCUCCGGGGGAAAGAUUUAUCGGUGAAAGAUCGGUCCGCGUUAGAUUAGCUAGUUGGUGAGGUAACGGCUCACCAAGGCUACGAUCUAUAGCUGGUCUGAGAGGAUGAUCAGCCACACUGGGACUGAGACACGGCCCAGACUCCUACGGGAGGCAGCAGUGGGGAAUAUUGCACAAUGGGCGCAAGCCUGAUGCAGCCAUGCCGCGUGAAUGAUGAAGGCCUUAGGGUUGUAAAAUUCUUUCGCCAGGGAUGAUAAUGACAGUACCUGGUAAAGAAGCCCCGGCUAACUUCGUGCCAGCAGCCGCGGUAAUACGAAGGGGGCUAGCGUUGUUCGGAAUUACUGGGCGUAAAGCGCACGUAGGCGGACUUUUAAGUCAGAUGUGAAAUCCCGAGGCUCAACCUCGGAACUGCAUUUGAAACUGGGAGUCUAGAGAUCAGGAGAGGUUAGCGGAAUACCGAGUGUAGAGGUGAAAUUCGUAGAUAUUCGGUGGAACACCAGUGGCGAAGGCGGCUAACUGGACUGAUACUGACGCUGAGGUGCGAAAGUGUGGGGAGCAAACAGGAUUAGAUACCCUGGUAGUCCACACCGUAAACGAUGAGUGCUAGUUGUCUGCAGGCAUGCCUGUAGGUGACGCAGCUAACGCAUUAAGCACUCCGCCUGGGGAGUACGGCCGCAAGGUUAAAACUCAAAGAAAUUGACGGGGGCCCGCACAAGCGGUGGAGCAUGUGGUUUAAUUCGAAGCAACGCGCAGAACCUUACCUACGCUUGACAUGCCCGGACGAUUUCCAGAGAUGGAUCUCUCCCUUCGGGGCCGGUGCACAGGUGCUGCAUGGCUGUCGUCAGCUCGUGUCGUGAGAUGUUGGGUUAAGUCCCGCAACGAGCGCAACCCUCAUCCUUAGUUGCCAUCACGUUUGGGUGGGCACUCUAGGGAAACUGCCGGUGCUAAGCCAGAGGAAGGCGGGGAUGACGUCAAGUCCUCAUGGCCCUUACGCGUAGGGCUACACACGUGCUACAAUGGCAGUGACAAUGGGAUAAUCCCCAAAAGCUGUCUCAGUUCGGAUUGUCGGCUGCAACUCGCCGGCAUGAAGUUGGAAUCGCUAGUAAUCGUGGAUCAGCAUGCCACGGUGAAUACGUUCCCGGGCCUUGUACACACCGCCCGUCACACCAUGGGAGUUGGAUCUACCCGAAGAUUGUGAGCUAACUUCGGAGGCAGCAAGCCACGGUAGGUUCAGCGACUGGGGUGAAGUCGUAACAAGGUAACC